ensembl:snRNA U6 U6 spliceosomal RNA
GUGCUCGUUUUUGGCAGUACAUAUACUAAAACUGGAACAAUACAGAGAAGAUUAACAUAGCUCCUGUACAAGGAUAACCAGCAAAUUUGUGAUGUGUUCCGUAUCUUU